rfam:Chloroflexi bacterium RBG_16_57_9 RBG_16_scaffold_4167, whole genome shotgun sequence.
AUCUAAAAUCUGAAAUUGCCUAAGACAGCAGGUGCGCGUUUUGCGCUUAAACUGAGUGGCCUGCCGAGGCGAGACCAGCGCGAUAGGUACCGGGCAUAUGUGCCUGGUUGUAUUACGCCUGUGUGUCGUUUCGGCACCAGGCGUUUUUAUUUGGAAUG